CCUAAUGUCAAAAUCUCUUUCUGGAAUUUAUGAGAGGAUAAAAAGUAAUAUCUAAAAUAAAAACUGUCUAUCAAAAGUGAUGUAGAGGCUUCACAGUGGUGCAGAAGGGUGGACCCAGUCCCAACAGUCAGUAUGGAAGUAAAGGACUAUUUUAAAGAACACUGCUAGUGGGGGAGAGGAGCAGAAGAAGA